GGCGUGCUAAUACAUGCAAGUCGAAGCGAACUGAUUAGAAGCUUGCUUCUAUGACGUUAGCGGCGGACGGGUGAGUAACACGUGGGCAACCUGCCUGUAAGACUGGGAUAACUUCGGGAAACCGAAGCUAAUACCGGAUAGGAUCUUCUCCUUCAUGGGAGAUGAUUGAAAGAUGGUUUCGGCUAUCACUUACAGAUGGGCCCGCGGUGCAUUAGCUAGUUGGUGAGGUAACGGCUCACCAAGGCAACGAUGCAUAGCCGACCUGAGAGGGUGAUCGGCCACACUGGGACUGAGACACGGCCCAGACUCCUACGGGAGGCAGCAGUAGGGAAUCUUCCGCAAUGGACGAAAGUCUGACGGAGCAACGCCGCGUGAGUGAUGAAGGCUUUCGGGUCGUAAAACUCUGUUGUUAGGGAAGAACAAGUACGAGAGUAACUGCUCGUACCUUGACGGUACCUAACCAGAAAGCCACGGCUAACUACGUGCCAGCAGCCGCGGUAAUACGUAGGUGGCAAGCGUUAUCCGGAAUUAUUGGGCGUAAAGCGCGCGCAGGCGGUUUCUUAAGUCUGAUGUGAAAGCCCACGGCUCAACCGUGGAGGGUCAUUGGAAACUGGGGAACUUGAGUGCAGAAGAGAAAAGCGGAAUUCCACGUGUAGCGGUGAAAUGCGUAGAGAUGUGGAGGAACACCAGUGGCGAAGGCGGCUUUUUGGUCUGUAACUGACGCUGAGGCGCGAAAGCGUGG
rnacentral:rRNA from 2 species